GUGAAUCAUCGAAUCUUUGAACGCAAAUUGCGCUUCCUAGCAUCCCGGGAAGUAUGCCUGUUUGAGGGUCAGUAUUAACAAAAAAAUCGGUGUGGUUGCAAAUUGUGACGUUUCCGGAGUUUGGGCUAUCUUUACUCUUUUGGUUAAGGGGCUUAAAAUUGACCUUUUUUGCUCAUUUUUAGACUUAAUUAUAUUUUUUUUUUUUUCGUCUAUGCUUAAUGGCUAA
rnacentral:misc_RNA from 1 species